GUGGGGAAUAUUGGGCAAUGGGGGAAACCCUGACCCAGCGACGCCGCGUGAGUGAAGAAGGCCUUCGGGUCGUAAAGCUCUGUCAUCAGGGACGAACGGCCGGUGGAGUGGAAAGCCACCGGAUUGACGGUACCUGAGAAGGAAGCCACGGCUAACUACGUGCCAGCAGCCGCGGUAAUACGUAGGUGGCAAGCGUUGUCCGGAAUUAUUGGGCGUAAAGCGCGCGCAGGUGGGAUCUUAAGUCCAUUUUUAAAGUUCGGAGCACAACUCCGUGAUGGGAUGGAAACUGGGAUUCUUGAGUACCGGGGAGGAAAGCGGAAUUCCCCGUGUAGCGGUGAAAUGCGUAGAUAUGGGGAGGAACACCAGUGGCGAAGGCGGCUUUCUGGACGGUGUCUGACACUGAGGCGCGAAAGCUAGGGGAGCGAACGGGAUUAGAUACCCCUGUAGUCC
rnacentral:rRNA from 1 species